UUAGAGAACUGAUUAAAGUCAAUACAGUUCCUUACACAUUCAGAUAAAAUAUUAAAACUCUUGGCGACUUGAUCUUGAUAAAUGUGAGAUACCACCAGUGGGAUUUCAAGCUGCAUAGCUGCGCUGGAACUCAUAGUUCAACUUUGCUUAAAUUGCUUCAAUUGUAAGUAACCUGGCCAUUCAUGAGAAAAAAUUACCCUGUGAACUGACUGCCAUUCAAGCAAUAUAGAUGAUGUUGUUUUUGAAGGAUGCAAGAGGCCUAUGGAAGAGCACAAACGUAUUGUAUGGUACACUUUUAUCCUGUCAUUGCUUUCUCAAGUUAUAGUUGAUCAUUUGAAGUACUCACUUUCCUGUGAGCAUUUUGGAGAGCUUCAACUCGACUGCUAGUGCGAUGUACUUACAAUUUUAGUGAAAAAUUAAAGUUUACAGAAGUUUGUUUUGUUUCAAAAGUUUUUUUCUGACAUGAAUCACAACUGAAUAUUGUGAAUAUUGUGAACAUUUUGGAAAUUUGAAUCAUCAAACUCUUUUAUUUUAUGUGUAGGUGGUUGUCAAUCAGAGAAAAGUCCAUUCAGUGCAAGAUAUGAAGAUGGAAAGCUUUACUUUGAAGGAGAAUGGUUCCACAAAGGUUAUCAUGUACUGAUAGAGAGUAGAAAUGAUACAAAUUCCAGCACUGUUGUUACAUGAAUCAACACCAGAGAGGUG